rnacentral:misc_RNA from 1 species
CAGCAAUUUCAAGUGGCCACAGCUUGAUCCGAAAGAUUCAACGCCAAGUCCAGCUGAGAAGCUACUGUCUUAUGAUAAUCCAUCGGAGUUGAUUGCAUCUGCUAGCACUAGUUCAUCUUUUCCUGAUAUGGAAUCUGAUGAAAUCUCCUUGUCAAGACAGACUGCUGAUGAGCUAGAACCAGAAGAUGAACAAGCCGAGAUGAACAAUCCACCGGGCAAUG